UUGUGGACCAGAAAUGCCUUCCUGAACUGGGAUAUUACCUUAGUGCUGUCAAAACUGGUCUGCUGAGAUCCUUCCUUCCUACAGCACCCUGCAGAAGAAAUUGCUUUGGACAGCAUGAGAGUGGAUAAGUAAGUAGCACAUCAGAUGUGAUUCAGCACAUCGCUUACAAUGGCUUCGCUAAGAGGAGGACUGAAAAAAGCGAAGAGGUCAGACAUCUCCAAUACCUGAUGGUGAAAGACAGCAAGAUCUAAUUCCAAGAGACACCAUGGAAAACAAAAAUCCACUAAGAAAGUAUUCCUACAAAGUUACAGAAAACGCAUUCAAAGCCUGAAAAAUGAAAAAAAGGAAAAAGCAUUCCUGAUACUGUGGCCGGAUCUACUGCAUACGAGGUUUCUUAGCUUGGUCACAAGAAAACUGAGCUGAUCUCUGGUACCACAGGAGCCUCAGCAUUUCGUGGGAAAACCUUCUCCUUCAGCCUCCUGAAAGCUCUGUCUGCAGCUGAGAAACUGAAACUCUGCAUCCAUACAGUAGUCCAGGAAUCUUCUCCAGGGCCUACCCAGUAACUGACCUUCACAGUGACCUGAGGAAUCGGGUGAGUCAGCAUCCACAGUCAACCAUUGGGCUCUGCCUCUAAUUAAGGCUGGGAAUGGUCCAGUGACUCCGAGACCAUAACAUCAUAUUAUGCACACUGUUCUCUGUGUAUCCCAGUGCACUUUAGCAAGCCAUUCUGCAUCAUUAUCUUUAAAGAAUACCUCACACAGAGGGCCGUUCAGUGGCCAGGAGGAAGAUGGACCGAGACCAACUAAUGUUAAAUAAUAAAUCGCCUUUGUAUGACAUAUCCCACAGAAUCCCAACUUCCACUGAGACAUCCCUAUACUAAAAAAAAAAAAAAAAAAAAAAAAAAAACCUGAUGUAAGAUUUCUGCUUUAAACAGACAUUCAGCACAUUGCAAAGUUCUUAUAUUAAAAAACAAAUAUGACUGAAUAAUAUUGAAAUGAUUAAAUAAGUAAUAAGCUACAUAGGUUUUGUAGUUUAGAACAAAAUAUGCUUAGUAAAAUGAAAGGCCUCUAAGUUCUCCAGUACACCAUUAAAAAGUAAUAGAAAGUUUAAGUGUAUUAACAGUUAGUAAUGAAAUUACUUUGAAAUAGUUUUAGUUUUGCAUAAAUGAUUUAAGAACUUUUGUUUUCUUUUCUAAAUGUAAAACCUAAUUCUCAGUGAAAUUUAGUGAAAUAUAUUUUUAUGAUCAACAUUCCUGCCAUUUAACGUCAGUUAGUAUCACUUCCCUGCCAGCCCCAAUUCAACAUGGUAACAAGUAUGCGCAUUAAGGGAACCUGGCUGUACCUCUCCUAGACCCCAUUUGAGGGCUGACUGCCACCGAGGAAGGAUCUCUUUCUGGAGAUUGUUCUCUUAGGAGUUAUUUCUGUAAGCUUAGGACACAGGUGAGCAUUUCAUUAAUUUUUGAUUAUCUCUUUCUAGUUACACAACCAGUAAAAUACCAACCUAACCACACCGCUCUGCAAAUUAUAUGUUUGUUGAGUGUAUGCUCCUUUAAAUAGGUUGAUUUCUGGUAGACAAAGCCCACUGGCCCAAGAACUACUGCCUGCCCCUUUCUAUCUGUUAGACACAAUUCUGAACAGAUACACAUUUACAGUUUUCACAUUGAGUGGUGAAUUUGUUUUUCUUCUCCUCAAGCUGGUAAUAUCAAUAUGGAGAGCACAUUAACCACCCCUUUAGAAAAGCCUUAGCCUGGCUUUUGUCAAAUGCUGAGAAAGGAUACCCCAUCUGGUUGAAGCUGUUUGUGAAGACAAGUACAAAGCGUGACCUGAAUACAUAAAUAACUGUUGAGAGUCACUAAAUCAGCACUGUGACUGCUACAAGUUCUCACAUACAGAAAAACUUCAUAAUAAAUGGGAAAUGUCUCUGAAAGACUUUGGAACUUUAUCAGUCAGCCGAUAACUUUUGGUACUGCCAGCCUGAAGUGGAUUGCAGUUAGCCUGCCCUCUGUCAUCCUUCAAGCACCUCGCUUUUACCCAAGAGGGAAAUAGACUGCAUGCAGCUGUGUAUGAACAUCACAAGAACCCAUUUUUAGGAUUAUUUCUAUUUUGUUACAUCUAAAAUAAGUUCAAGAAAUUAUUUAUUCAGAAACAAGGUAUUCAGGUCAAGCAAUCAUGCAAACACUGCUUUAAGAGCUUUAUUUGGCUAAAGAUUCUUCUCUCUGCAUUUAUCUGUGUUACUAUAAUGUCUUCCUGCACUCUGUGGUCUGCAUCACAAAAGAUGCACUUUAUUGCAUGGGAGCCUUCCACUUACGUGUUCAUCCAUCACCUCUUGCAAGCAUGCAGUAUAUUUAAAAAUUGAGCUCUCCUUUCUUGGAAUGUAUAAUUGAGUCUUUGCUGCAAGCCUGUUUGCUGAAAGCCUGAGGAGGACUUGUGAGCUCAAAAAUAUACUGACUGUAUGAAACUGCAGCACUCAAACGCUAUGUAUCUCACUCCUUUCUCAACUUACUUUCACAAAGGCAUUAUUUGUGGCACCAGAAUUCUUAUUUCUUGUAAGUCAGUUAAACAGCAGAUUUAUUCCAGAUACCAUAGUUCUAGAGUAAGAUAUGUCUUACUAGUUAUCUAAAGUAUCUGUGAUCCUUAGUGUCCCAGCAGCCUUCAUUUGUCACUGCCAGCAACACAGCAACCUGUCUGGUCUUAUUUUGGGGUUUACCUCUUACUGUGAGCAUAUUCAUCCACUAUUAGCCAAUGAUAAGCAACUGCUUUUGUCAUAGAAAUAUUUCUGCAUUCCCCAGAAAAAUAAAAAGAAAUAAGAAUUUUUAAUUUUUUUUUUCAAAUACCCAAGCUUCAGCUGAAAUUCUAAGCUAGUUUGCUGGAUCUCUUUGUGGGUUGUUAACCAUCUUUUUGUAGCUAUUAAAAACAGUCAGUGGUGCAAUACCAGUGCAUGGUAUUGACAUUAUCUUGCAUACCCUUGCUAUGCAAGGGGACUCAAGUCCCUUUGUUUCUGUUCUGCGCUGGCCAUGGGUGAACUUGCACCAGCCUGGAGUCACUUAAUGCCAGCAGCAGGGCCCAGUGCAAACAAGGAAGGGCCUAUGAGACCAUGUACCCCAUCACAGCACGUACCAGAUAUGAGAAGUUAUGAUAAUUUAAAAUCCUUGAUAUGGAAGAAAAUACAACCCGCAUGAUUUUAUUUAUCAGAAAUGUGGUGCUAACAUUGUUCUUUAUAAAAAAAAAAAA